AAUCAACGUUGGCGGCGCGCCUAACACAUGCAAGUCGAACGAGAAAGUGGAGCAAUCCAUGAGUACAGUGGCGUACGGGUGAGUAACACGUGGGUAAUCUGCCUGUUAGUGGGGAAUAACCCUGGGAAACCGGGGCUAAUACCGCAUAAGUUCGCAAGAAGAAAGUCGAAAGACGCUGACAGAGGAGCCCGCGGCCGAUUAGCUAGUUGGCAGGGUAAAAGCCUACCAAGGCGACGAUCGGUAGCCGGCCUGAGAGGGCACACGGCCACACUGGCACUGAAACACGGGCCAGACUCCUACGGGAGGCAGCAGUGGGGAAUCUUGCACAAUGGGGGAAACCCUGAUGCAGCGACGCCGCGUGAGUGAUGAAGCCCUUCGGGGUGUAAAGCUCUUUCGACGGGAACGAUUAUGACGGUACCCGGAGAAGAAGCUGCGGCUAACUACGUG
rnacentral:rRNA from 1 species